ACUGUGGCAGAGGUGCACAGAGACUGUGAUGCACUGGAUUUCUCCUCACUCCUGCAUUAUUUAAUUAUGGGAGUUUGUGUACCUUUGCAAAGACCAGGCCAGCCACUGUUUUCUACUG